AACAAACCCAUCAGAUUCUCCAUCUUCUACUGAGUGUUGUCUAAUGAGCCAAAUGACUUUCUGCGCUCCGACGUUCUCCUGCAAAUUGAUCGGUGUCCACCGGUGGACCGCGCCCUCCAAUGCUUCACCCCGUCCAUGCCUCCGACCACAUAUCCGGUGUGCUGCGCAGACUCCUCAUCGGCGAUCGGCUAAUUACCAGCCAAGCUCGUGGAGUGACGAAUACAUCCAAUCGCUAAGAAAUGACACCAAGGUGGAGGAGGAUAACGCAGCAAGGAUGGGAAAACUGACGGAGGACGUGAAACAACUGAUCUACAUGAAGAAGGGAAUUGAAGACCAGCUUCAACUGAUCGAUCACCUGCAGCAGCUUGGGGUGGCGUAUCACUUUAAGGAGGAUAUUAGGGAUGCUUUAUGGACAAUAUACCGUUCCAUGGAAGAGGUGAACAUGUUGCCACGGCUCUAAUGUUCAGGCUUCUCAGAGAACAUGGGUUUGCUGUUUCUGAAGGUCUCUUCAACCGAUUUAUAGUUGAGAAGGGCAACUUGAAAGCCAGCCUUCGCCACCAGACUGAAGGAUUGGUGAGCUUGUGCGAGGCAUCCCAUCUUGCAAAGGAAGCAGAGCACGUGCUGGAAGAAGC